UGGGGAAUAUUGCGCAAUGGGCGGAAGCCUGACGCAGCGACGCCGCGUGGGGGAUGAAGGCCUUCGGGUUGUAAACCUCUUUCACCAGGGGCGAAGGGUAACUGACGGUACCUGGGGAAGAAGCGCCGGCUAACUACGUGCCAGCAGCCGCGGUAAUACGUAGGGCGCAAGCGUUGUCCGGAAUUAUUGGGCGUAAAGAGCUCGUAGGCGGCUGGUCGCGUCUGCUGUGAAAUCCCGGGGCUUAACCCCGGGCGUGCAGUGGAUACGGGCCGGCUGGAGGCAGGCAGGGGAGAAUGGAAUUCCCGGUGUAGCGGUGAAAUGCGCAGAUAUCGGGAGGAACACCGGUGGCGAAGGCGGUUCUCUGGGCCUGUUCUGACGCUGAGGAGCGAAAGCGUGGGGAGCGAACAGGAUUAGAUACC
rnacentral:rRNA from 1 species